AAAGUCGUAACAAGGUUUCCGUAGGUGAACCUGCGGAAGGAUCAUUAUCGUGGGGCUUCGGCCCCGUCGAGAAAGCACCCUUGCCUUUACCGUACCAUGGGAUCGACCCCCUCCGGUUCUCCGGGGUGUGGGGCGACCCUGCCCAUUUUCCUCGGCUGGUUCCCCAGCCAGGGGCGACCCUUUGAGGAAGACCAAACACGCUGCAACCACCUGUAACCGCCUGAUAAAACAAACAAAAAUCAAAACUUUCAACAACGGAUCUCUUGGUUCUG
rnacentral:misc_RNA from 1 species